CAUAGAAUUUUAAAGCAUAAAAAUGAUUUGAAAUAAAAUAAUAAUGUGAAAAAUUAGUAAUAAGAGUUUUAAAUUUUGCUUUUUCUAUUGGUGUGGCUAUGCGUAUGGCCAUUGGUAUUUAAGGAGGAGUUGAGUGGCGGUCAGAUUGAAGUUUGGAGUCUUCCUAAAGGGAAAUUGAAAUCUUGGUGUUCGUGGGUGUUCAGCUCAAUCAUGACUCAAAAAUUCGGCGGUGGGUUGCGUCCUACGGGAACUCCCUCAGUUGGUUGGUCUUUUGUCGUCGUCAUCUCCUCGCUUCUCGCCGGCGCCUCCAUUGUCCACAACAUCUUCAAACCAAAUCUUACCUUGCCUCCGGCGGAUAGUGCCCAGACGACGACCAACAAGGAAAACCCUAUUUAAAAAUAAAUUACUUUAUAACCAUUACAGUACAGUUAGUUUAUUUCUUUCCAGAUUCAUGUUUUUCUUAUUAUUGGUUUUUGUUUCCAUGCUUUGAUGUCGAAGUUCUGUUUUGUUGGAAAAGGAACAAAAGAAUCUUUAAAGGUUCAUUUCGAGAGCUGCAAGUGUUGUAAAAUUCACCAGUUAUAAAUAACUAGUGCAUUCUCUCUUUGGGAAAUUGUUUUCUUUUUC